rnacentral:rRNA from 1 species
UACGUAGGGUGCGAGCGUUGUCCGGAAUUAUUGGGCGUAAAGAGCUCGUAGGCGGUCAGUCGCGUCUGCUGUGAAAACUCGGGGCUUAACUCCGGGCCUGCAGUGGGUACGGGCUGACUAGAGUGCGGUAGGGGAGACUGGAAUUCCUGGUGUAGCGGUGAAAUGCGCAGAUAUCAGGAGGAACACCGGUGGCGAAGGCGGGUCUCUGGGCAGUAACUGACGCUGAGGAGCGAAAGCGUGGGGAGCGAACAGG